AGACGGGGGCCUGCACAAGCGGUGGAGUAUGUGGCUCAAUUCGAUGCAACGCGAAGAACCUUACCUGGCCUUGACAUGCACGUAGUAGGAGGGUGAAAGCCCGACGAGGUAGCAAUACCAGCGUGCACAGGUGCUGCAUGGCUGUCGUCAGCUCGUGUCGUGGGAUGUUGGGUUAAGUCCCGCAACGAGCGCAACCCCUGUGUCCUGUUGCGAUCCGGUCGCGAGAUCGGAGCACUCUGGACAGACUGCCUCGCUUAAACGAGGAGGAAGGUGGGGAUGACGUCAAGUCAGUAUGGCCCUUACGGCCAGGGCUGCACACGUACUACAAUGGCUGGCACAAAGGGAAGCGAGACCGUCAGGUGGAGCAAAUCCCCAAAAACCAGCCCCAGUUCAGAUUGUCGUCUGCAACUCGACGGCAUGAAGUUGGAAUCGCUAGUAAUGGCGCAUCAGCUACGGCGCCGUGAAUACGUUCCCAGGCCUU
rnacentral:rRNA from 1 species